rnacentral:lncRNA from 1 species
CUGUGCGUGAGCUCUGGGGGCCUUUUCUUGUUUGGUCAAAAAAAACAAGGUGCUGCUGCUGUUCAUGCCCUCUAAGUUGUACAAACCUUUUCUGCCCUCUCCCCUAGCCCUUCUCUAUCCUCCUGAGCAAGUACUUUAUUCUCUUUUGUUUAGUUGUUACUUUUGUUUGUUUGUUUUGAGACAGGGUCUCACUCUGUGGGAGGAUCACUUGAGCCUGGGAGGUUGAGGCUGCAGUGAGCUAUGAUCAUGCCACUGCACUCCAGCCUGGGCAACCAGGUGAGACCCUGCCUCAAAAAUAAUACAAUAAAAAGUAAAAGCAGCCCUGGGGAAAUGGAGACAGUGGACAAAGCAGGCUGGGGCACCAGGUGUGCAUGUGGGUGUGAGUCUGUCAUGAGAGCUGUCCUGAAUGCCCUUAACGCCACUGAACUGUAUGCUGGAAAACAGUGACAACAGUGGAUUUUGUUAUAUAGACAAUUAAAAAAGAAAUAACACCCA